GACGAACGCUGGCGGCGUGCUUAACACAUGCAAGUCGAACGAGACGAUUGAAAGCUUGCUUUUGAAAGUCGAGUGGCAAACGGGUGAGUAACGCGUAGACAACCUGCCUUUGAGAUGGGGACAACAGUUCGAAAGGACUGCUAAUACCGAAUGUUGUAUAUUUUCCACAUGGAAGAUAUAUUAAAGAUGGCCUCUAUUUAUAAGCUAUCGCUCAAAGAUGGGUCUGCGUCUGAUUAGCUGGUUGGUGGGGUAACGGCCUACUAAGGCGACGAUCAGUAGCCGGUCUGAGAGGAUGAACGGCCACAUUGGGACUGAGACACGGCCCAGACUCCUACGGGAGGCAGCAGUGGGGAAUCUUCCACAAUGGACGAAAGUCUGAUGGAGCAACGCCGCGUGAGUGAAGAAGGGUUUCGGCUCGUAAAGCUCUGUUGUCGGGGACGAAUGUGCAGUAUUUGAAUAAAGUACUGCAAUGACGGUACCUGACGAGGAAGCCACGGCUAACUACGUGCCAGCAGCCGCGGUAA
rnacentral:rRNA from 1 species